GAUGAAGAACGUAGCGAAAUGCGAUAAGUAAUGCGAAUUGCAGAAUUCAGUGAAUCAUCGAAUCUUUGAACGCAUCUUGCGCUCCUUGGUAUUCCUUGGAGCAUGCCUGUUUGAGUAUCAUGAGCAAAUCUCAAAGUCAAUUCCUUUUGUUGAUUCAAUUGGUUUUGCUUUGGACUUGGAGGCCUUGCAGAUUUCACAGUCUGCUCCUCUUAAAUGCAUUAGCUGGAUCUCAGUAAUUAUGCUUGGUUCCACUCGGCGUGAUAAGUAUCACUCGCUGAGGACACUGUUAAAAAGGUGGCCAGGAAAAUACUGAUUGAACCGCUUCUAACGGUCUAUUAAGUUAGACAAUUACCCUUAAGUUUGAUCUCAAAUCAGGUAGGACUACCCGCUGAACUUAAGCAUAUCAAUAAGCGGAGGA
rnacentral:misc_RNA from 1 species